UAAACCUCCGAUUCGCAAAGACGACGACGCGUUGCUCCUUCCCGCCGCUACUUUUCCCGGCGGAGGCGGCAGUGACGGAGGAUAAUCCCGAGUCCCGUAGAUCUGAUUUCUCUUACCACUCACGAUUUCCUUCCUCCGAUCAACGCCGUAAGUUCUCUGACCCGACCCGUACCCACAUCCAUCGUGACUAUCCAUUUCCCUUUAAACCGGAGCUCCGAUCAGAUUAUUUAUUCCGGCUUGAGGAAACCAAACAAAAAACAAAGAGCAAAAGUGAACAGAUGAUGAUGAUGAUUAACACAGCUCUUAUUUGGCCUUUUUUCGUUUUUUAAAGUUUU